rnacentral:rRNA from 1 species
GACGAACGCUGGCGGCGUGCUUAACACAUGCAAGUCGAACGGAAAGGCCCUGCUUGCAGGGUACUCGAGUGGCGAACGGGUGAGUAACACGUGGGUGAUCUGCCCUGCACUUCGGGAUAAGCCUGGGAAACUGGGUCUAAUACCGGAUAGGAGCCAUUUUUAGUGUGAUGGUUGGAAAGUUUUUUCGGUGUAGGAUGAGCUCGCGGCCUAUCAGCUUGUUGGUGGGGUAAUGGCCUACCAAGGCGGCGACGGGUAGCCGGCCUGAGAGGGUGGACGGCCAAAUUGGGACUGAGAUACGGCCCAGACUCCUACGGGGGGGAGGAGUGGGGAAUAUUGCACAAUGGGCGCAAGCCUGAUGCAGCGACGCCGCGUGGGGGAUGACGGCCUUCGGGUUGUAAACUCCUUUCGCUAGGGACGAAGCUUUUUGUGACGGUACCUAGAUAAGAAGCACCGGCUAACUACGUG